UAUUCUUCAUGUACAAAAUAAAACUCCACCAGACAUUUUAAACAGCAUCCACUAUAGUUGUGCCUUGCAAUGUUUGAAGAUGGAGUGUAACUUUUUCCAAAAUAACAACAUUCCAAACAGUCUUGUACCAAAGAAUAAGCUUGAAGUCCUGUCAUGUUUUCCAUUUCUGAGUGAUGGACAAGUGUGCAGCAACCAUAAAAAAUAUUACUAGAUCUUUUAAUGUAACCAUUUUAUUAUUAUGUCCAAAAACAGGAGAGGAAGAAGUGGGGACAACUGAAUUGACUCCUUAGUAACUGAAGCAAUUUCUUUGAAAACCAAGAACCAAAACAUACAUACCUGUAGGUGGAAGUACAUUUCCCUAGCAUCACAGGCCUAUUAGAAUUAGGUUGACCAUUCAGAGAAAUUUAUGUACUUUAAGAGCAGUUUGGCAAGGGAACCAAUGACCUAGAAGGGUUGUGGGCUCUCCCUUCCUGAAGAACUUCAAGUAGAGGUUGGACAGUCAUGUGUUCAUGACACUCUAGCUCCGGAUUUCCUGCAUCAAGCCUCUCCAACUCUAUGAUUCUAUGAUUCCAAUCAGCUUGUCAAAUAACUGACCUUGAAAUGACCUGUGUAUAAUAGGCAGACAUUUACUUUUGGUUAAAACCAGUAAUCUAUCUAAGAACAGUCUUAUUAACAUCUCUCUCUUCUCCCUGACAUCUCUCACUCUAUUCCUCCGAUUCAGGGACUCCUGCCUACAGAGUAAUCUCAUAUUAUGCUGGCCUUCUUCGCAUGGAUGGCUUUUUAUGGUUAUCCAGUAUGAAAAGGCAUCCUGCAGCUUCUAAAAAAUGGAAAACAUAAGUUACUGAAGCUCCUCUAUGUCAGCUGACAGGGGAGGGAGUUGGCACAUUCAUUUAAAGAGGAAGCAGUUUAUGUCCAAUAAUUGCUUAAAAAACAGCUCUCAUGCCCUCUCAUCUGAACAAUUACCUGCUUAUCCCGGAUAUCUUAGAACAGACUUUAGUAACUUGGUGAGUAAAGGAUACCAAUGGUUGAAAUAUAUGUGGUCAGAGCAGGUGUGCCGGCUGCUAUAAUUUGUGACAGCAUUCCUAUGUAUUGUUUUUAGAAUUGGGGGUGGGUUGUGUUGUCUAAAUGGAAAAUGAGGGUUUAGGACUUAUGGGUAUCACCAAGGUCUCACCUUUGAGCACAAAAAGGAAUUCCAGACAUGAUGAGAGACAUUCAUUUCUUUAUAUGAGCUGCCCACAAAAUUAACUCUUGCCUUUAGUAAUGGACCACCCAGCAAAGGUGCUUGGAUCUAUCUAUAGAGGAAUAUUCUCUCAAGUCAAUAAAUCCUGAGAACGGUGCUCAGUAACGAGACUGUCAACUGAUCCGAGUUUGAAGAGCAGUGAUGAUUUUAUGGGUUUACCCCUGAGCAGCUCAAGUAACUGCUGACAAUUUCCUUGCUGCCGCAAACCAGUUGUCAGUGGAUAAGGCCAAUAAUAUACAUUAAGGUCUGGAGAAAGAGGAAAUGACACAAUCUGUGCAGGGACCUUCUUGUCCUUUUGCACAAAGGCAGUGUGGUUAGCAACAGAGGGUGAGACAACACUGCACAGGCAGCAAAAGGUUCAUUAGGUUUUUGAGUAUGCAAUCCCAGCUUUCUCCCACAGAGUAGUGAGGUCAGCCUUCAUGGCUAAAGCCAUGAGAAAUAAAUCUUGAGCCAAGGGAGAUGGCUCCUAGCUUCUGGAUCCAGGGGAAAACGACAUCCUGUUCUUUGCACAGUGUUCAUUUUAAACGCCUCUGUGGGCUCAUCACUUGAGCCAAGAGAGAAACUCUUGACUGAGCACUAGGUGCAUUUUAGGGAAAUGAGAUGUUGACACCCCCUCUCCCCAAUAAAAAAGGGAAAUGAAUCUUGCCAGCUUUCAUUUGCGGCUGCUUUCUGCCUGUCUGAAAGAAGUUUAAAGCAAGUACUCAAAACUUUUUUUAAAAAAAAAACAUGCUUUUAAGUGGAGCAUUAUGGCCUAACUGUGCAUGAUGCUGACUGCAUUGCUGCCAACCAUAUCGGCUUAUUUAAGAGUUGGUUUAUUUGAAACAACCUCCUGCCCCAGUUUUAUCAGGACCACAACAUACAGGAAGCAUAGGAUUUCUCCUUUCCUCGCUAUCUAUUGGCUCUGCAAAAGUCCCCCCCCCCCCCCGCAGCAAUGGGAACUUUUCAAUGAUUAUGAAUUGCCAUGUGAGACGAGUCACAAUUUUCCUUAAUAUCACAAAAUGGGGGAAAGAAGGGUAAUACUUUCUCUAAAUCCCAGCAUGCUGUGAUCAUUAUAAAAAUCCUCCUUCUCCUGUGCUUACUAUUAGAUACAUUAAAACCUAUGCUGCGAUUGGCACUGACACAUUUAGCAUCACAUGUUUUCAAGCCCAAAAAAUGUGGGGCAAUAUUCAUAUUUCUAGGGGUACCCCUGGCAUCUUAGGUCAGAAACUAAUUUCUCUUAUCAUGUCUUCUGCCAAGGAAUUGGCAGUGCUGUCUGCUCCAUUCUUUGUAUUGCCACCAUCCCAAAUUAGUGAGAAUAAAUGCCUGAUCUACAGGGUUGUGCAAAGAAUUAAUGCAUUUCUUGUUUGAGAACGUGCUUGGAUAAUAUGACAUUUCCCAGGCUGAAAUCAGCCAGAAGGUUGAAAGCACUUUGUUGGUAUAAACUAAGCACAGGAUUUCAGGUCAGUGCCAAGCAAGGGUGGGUGAACUAUACUGACCUCAAAAACUAUCAGGAGGGCUGCUAGCAAACAACAGUCCAUUCCAACAAUUGGGCCUUCCUGGUUUGAUGAGGUGAAAGCUCCAUCUUCACCUAUAACCAUCUCCAUCAGUGGCCAGCCCAAUGAUCCCGAGGUGAGAAGCUUACAAACAAGGCAAUAUGUUGAUGGAUCCUGCACAAUUUAAAAAAUAAAAGCCACGUAUUUUUAUGUAUUGAAAUGCCCCGACCAAUGCAAGCUUGACAGUGCCUUUGUUCCCUUUGAGGAAAAUGAGAAGCUCCAUUAAAAGACUGUUUCAAGGCACACAGCAGCUGACCAGAGCAGGGGACAGAAAUGGAAUCAAGUGCCGAGGGUUGGAAUGCUGUUGACGGCUGGAAGGAACACGACUGGGAUCGAAAGCCAGCCGAUGAGUCAGACCAGGUCACAAGCGAUGUAAUCUGAGCUAGCCCAGACGCUGUGAGGUCAGACCUCACGCCAAGGUCGGAAAGCCAAACCAUGUCAAGAAGGCAACAGGAGACAGAGCCAAGCGAGAAGUGGGAGCCAGGAAAAUGGAAAGAGGGCUGAGACAACGCAGAACAGGAUCGGAAGGCAAUAGUGAGGCAGAGAACAUAAACUUGGGCAAGAGGAUGGGCAACAGAUGAGGCCACAGCUGCAAUUUACCAGUUUGCUGCAGGCCCGGUUUCAAAGUUCUUGUGUUAAUUCAUGAAGCCCUAAGCUGCUUCAUGGAUCACCUGAUGCCUUCUGCUGUUCCUCAGUCACUGAGAGCAUCCGAUGGAGCACUUUCAAUGGCACCGUCCAUGUUCCUGAGGUUCACUCAAACUGCCCCAGGGACUGGUGCCUGUAGCAUGGCAGGCCCUGCUCCAUGGAACUCCUUGCCCGUAGAGCUCCAGCAGGAAUAAUCUCUGCCUUCUUUUGACAUCUUUUGAAAACUGUAUUAUUCAGGCAGGCUUUUGAAAUGGGAAUUUCUUUUUACCAAACAGUAUUUAUCAGUUGUUUUAUUGAUCUUGUUGUACAACAUAAAGACAACAUUACAUCACCUUCCUGGCCUAAGAACAGUUAAUUAAAUCCUAUGCACACUUACCCUGUGAGUAAGCCCCGUAGAUCAUAGUGGGACUUACUUCCAAGCAAGCAUGCAUAGAGAUGGGGCUGCACAAACUUGAUCCCACAGCCACUUAGUUUCACUCAACAAGGCUGUUUAUAUAGUGGCCCAUGGCCUCCCAAGCAUGGAUUGUGAUUCAAGUAACCAUAAAAGCUGUGGUGAUAGAGUAACAUCCUUUGUGCUGAGGAAUGGCCUACCCAAGUCUGAAAUUAGCUCCUUCCCAGAAGAAAUCUAGCAUGGUCCUCUUGUUCCUGAGGUAAGAUAUGACCUGCCUUGGGUGGCUUUGGGCCUAUACUGCUCUUACUAUGAAGUAAUGAGUGUAAACUUCUAAAAAACAAAGUGUAAUCUUUUAUAAUAUCUAAACUUUUUGAGAUAUUAAGAUGAUUUUUGGAGUUUCAGGCUAUGAAAUAAACCAUUCAGAAUGGGAAUAAAUGAAUUACAGGCAACUAAUGAAAAUUAGCGAAGAAAUAUAGAAUUAAAUAGGCUGAUAAAUGAAUGUCAUAUUUGGGAAUUUGGUUAAUAUCAAAUCUUAAUGAGUUGUUUAUUUAGGAACUAUUACAGCAGGCAUUGGCAAAAACCCUUAAGAAAGGAUUCCAGACUGAAUUGUCCUGGUUAGGAAAAAUUGCAUUUAAAAUUAAAGCUGUGAAAGGGUACACUGUUUGUUUAAAAAUGUCACUGCAAAGAUUGAUAAAACCAUGCUGCAGAAGUGGCAAAAAAUGCCACAAAAAUUUCUGUGGGACAGCCAAAGAUCUUGAAUUCCCAUGACAACCUUAGAGAAAAGUUUUAAGGAAAGAGGAGUACAAAAUAUUUUAUAAUAAUAAUUUAAAAAAUAAAAUUCUCACAGAUAUUUAACCUGAGCGGAGGCUGCGUCAUCCUCAGAGCUUCAUUUAGAAGCUACAUAGAGAAGCAGUCCCUUAUACAUAUGUAUUAUAUGCACACAGGAGCCAAAAUAACAGCCUAACCUAUGCAUUCCAGAAGAUAGAUGGAAGCAGGUCAGCAGUAGCGCUAGAAAGACAAGUUCCAUUAGAAAAGUUGACACUAGCAGAGCUAAUGAAGAUUCUGGUAUCUGUUUUUGCACAGGAUACAAAAUAUCAAGUAACUGGAUUACAGAAACAUAGCAGUGAUCAUGUAUUUCGUUUUUCUGUCUUUUCACGACAAGGUAAUUACAUUUGCAGUUUAAUAGUAACAGUGUUUGAUGGCUGGGAUGGGUUGGUGGAGGCCAUGUGAUUAUUCCCCUGCUGUUUCUUUUUGCUUUAAGUAUGUCUGCUUCAUUCUAUUCCUCCACAACAGAAGAAGUAGCCACCUAUUUUCCCUCACUGUCAGCUCUAGAGCAAACCCUUUUCAUCGGACUCUUGCUGGACUUUCAAGUUAGUAAGGCCAGUUUUAUUCAGAUUUCCCACCAACCCCCAUGGAAUUUUAUUUUGAAAUGAAGUUAAAAAUAAGAGCACAACAACAAUAACACACAUGCAGCAAUACAGUAAGAUCUCCAAAGAAACGAAGAAACUGACUGAUUAAAGUCCUUAACAUAUCACGCUUGUGGGGUGGGACAAUUGGAAUAAAAUAACUUCAAGCAGUAGUUGGGAACCUCUGGCCCAUGGGCAUAAAUCAGUCCAACAAAAGGCUUAAUUUCACCAGUGAGGUUGUUUCCCCCGAAUUAAUAAUAAUAAUAAUAAUAAUAAUAAUAAUAGUAUUAUUUAUACCCCACCCAUCCGGCUAGGUUUCCCCUGCCACUCCCAGUGGCUCCCAGCAGAAUAGC